rnacentral:rRNA from 1 species
AGUAACACGUGGGGAACCUGCCCCUAAGUCUGGGAUACCAUUUGGAAACAGGUGCUAAUACCGGAUAAGAAAGCAGAUCGCAUGAUCAGCUUUUGAAAGGCGGCGUAAGCUGUCGCUAAGGGAUGGCCCCGCGGUGCAUUAGCUAGUUGGUAAGGUAACGGCUUACCAAGGCGACGAUGCAUAGCCGAGUUGAGAGACUGAUCGGCCACAUUGGGACUGAGACACGGCCCAAACUCCUACGGGAGGCAGCAGCG